AGACUUACCUGGCAAAGGCGAUGUCAUGAUCAUGAAGGUAGGGCAGGGCUUAUCUAUUACACUCCAAACUUGCUGACCCCUGAGAUUUCUCCAAAUGUGGGAAACUUGACGGCAUCAUUUAUGGUAGUGGGGGACUGCAUUUGCGCUGUCCCCCG
rnacentral:snRNA from 1 species